GAUGAAGAACGUAGCGAACUGCGAUAAGUAAUGUGAAUUGCAGAAUUCAGUGAAUCAUCGAGUCUUUGAACGCACAUUGCGCCCCCUGGCAUUCCGGGGGGCAUGCCUGUUCGAGCGUCAUUGCUGCCCUUCAAGCCCGGCUUGUGUGUUGGGUCGUCGUCCCCCCCGGGGGACGGGCCCGAAAGGCAGCGGCGGCACCGCGUCCGGUCCUCGAGCGUAUGGGGCUUUGUCACCCGCUCGAUUAGGGCCGGCCGGGCGCCAGCCGGCGUCUCCAACCUUCUAUUUUACCAGGUUGACCUCGGAUCAGGUAGGGAUACCCGCUGAACUUAAGCAUAUCAAUAAGCGGAGGA
rnacentral:misc_RNA from 1 species